UACAGAGGGGGCAAGCGUUGUUCGGAAUUACUGGGCGUAAAGGGCGCGUAGGCGGCCUUCUAAGUCGAACGUGAAAUCCCCGGGCUCAACCCGGGAACUGCGUCCGAUACUGGAAGGCUUGAAUCCGGGAGAGGGAUGUGGAAUUCCAGGUGUAGCGGUGAAACGCGUAGAUAUCUGGAGGAACACCGGUGGCGAAGGCGACAUCCUGGACCGGUAUUGACGCUGAGGCGCGAAAGCCAGGGGAGCAAACGGG
rnacentral:rRNA from 1 species